rnacentral:rRNA from 1 species
AACGAACGCUGGCGGCAUGCCUAACACAUGCAAGUCGAACGAGACCUUCGGGUCUAGUGGCGCACGGGUGCGUAACGCGUGGGAACCUGCCCUUAGGUUCGGAAUAACUCCCCGAAAGGGGUGCUAAUACCGGAUAAUGUCUUCGGACCAAAGAUUUAUCGCCUUUGGAUGGGCCCGCGUUGGAUUAGCUAGUUGGUAGGGUAAAAGCCUACCAAGGCGACGAUCCAUAGCUGGUCUGAGAGGAUGAUCCGCCACACUGGGACUGAGACACGGCCCAGACUCCUACGGGAGGGAGCAGUGGGGAAUAUUGGACAAUGGGGGAAAGCCUGAUCCAGCAAUGCCGCGUGAGUGAUGAAGGCCGUAGGGUUGUAAAGCUCUUUUACCCGGGAUGAUAAUGACGGUACCGGGAGAAUAAGCUCCGGCUAACUACGUG